GGUGCAGCCCUAAAGGACAAAAAAUAAAAAGAAGUAAAUAAAAAUAAAUUUAAAAAAAACCUGUGGAAAUUAAUAACAAUGUUUUGUUUUAGCUUUUCCCUUUGAUUUUGGUGUUUUAAAUUUGAAUUCUUCUGUUGAAAAUGUCAAUACUAGUUUAAAUUUUGUUUAACCUGAUUUCUAAUGUUCUAAGUCUUGCCAUUAGAAAAACUCGUCAACUUCUUAUUCACGUAAUUAUUUUGAACAUUUUCCUAAUGUAUAUGUUCAUGGAGGAAGUUAGAUAGAGUUGGUUGCUAGGCCUCUUACCUCCUUCCCUCCCUUUUUUUCUUCCUCCUUUCCUUCCUUUUAAUUUUUAUAUUGAAAUAUUUUAGACUUUCAGAAGAGUUAACAAAAAUAGUACUUUUCACCCAACUUUUCCUAAUGGUUACACUAUAUAACCCCAUAGUAUAUUUUCCAAAACUAAGAAAUUGACAUUGAUAUAGUACUAUUAUUUAAAUUACUGACUUUUUCAUGGUUCCUAGUCGGAUUUGUUUCCUCUGCACCACGACAGGAACUCCUGAAAUUAAUCAUUUUAAAAUGAACAACUCAGUCGCAUUUGGUUGUGGCGUAACCCACCACCUCUAUCUAAUUCCAAAACAUUUUCAUCACCUUAAAAGGAAACCCAUGCCCAUUAAUCACUUGCUCCCAAUUCCCCCUUUUCUCAGCCUCCCACUCCUAAUCCAUCUCUAAGGUUUAAUCUUGGGUAGUUCAUAGUAAUGGAAUCAUACAGUAAGUGUUGUUUUUGUUUCUGGCUUCUCUCAGUGUUAUAUUUUCAAGGUCCGUCCAUAUUUUAGUAUUUAUCUAGUACUUCAUUUCUUUUUAUGGCUGAAUAACAUUUCAUUUUACAUAUAUACCUCAGUUUGCUUAUCCAUUCAUCCGUUGAUUGACAUUUGGGCUGUUUCUAGUUUUUUGCUAUUGUGAAUAAUGCUGGUAUGAAUAAACAUGUGUGCACAUGUUUUGUUGAACUAUUGGAUCGUGUGGUAGUUCUAACAAACUUUCUGGUUCAGGUAUUCUUUAAUUCUUUUGAUUUUCAUUUUAUUGACUUUAAUUUUCUUAUAGAAUAAUAGGGUACCAUGACAUUUUGAGCAAAAAUAUUCUUUUAGGUUUUGCAUGUCAGAGUGAGUUAUGUUUUGAAACCUGGAGGUAUUUGUCAUUCUGAUUAAGCUAUUUUUUUCUGGAUUUGAUUGUUGACAUACUUUACCUGUUUUUCCCAUUUAUAAUGAUAACAAGAUACAGUGCUAGAUAGAAUCCAUGUGUUUGCUGUGUUUUAUAUGUUAUCAGUUGAUGUUAUAUUGCUUUGUCCUUAUUUCGAACAGUUUAUCUUCCAACAUACAGGAAAUUUACUAGUUUAAGGAAACAUUUAUAAUAAAUACCCUCAAAGAACAGUGUAAGGAAACUUUUUAUACUUUUAAAUAAUUUUUUCAUUUCAGAUUUGAGAUUUUUUUAAUAUAAUUUUGUACUUUGUAAUGAUUUAUCUUCACAGGAUAGGUUAAUACAAUGCUGUCUUGAUUUUAAAACUUGUUUUAUCCUUUUCCAUAUAGAGGCUAGAGAAAGGAAUGAUAAUUCUACUGGAAGCUUGGCAAAAUGGCAGAUGAGAAAGAAAGUCCUCUACUUAAGAAGAGAUCAGAUCUAUAAAGGCUGUUCUUUAGUCCAGUUUUCCUUAAUUUUGAGUAACUGGGGAACUCACAUGUAGUCUCUGAAUAUAUUUCCACCAAAGAAGAGUAUGAGUUGGUUCUUCAAUGGCUUAAAACCAAAUCUUUUGUCUUCAGUAGGUCUUCUUCCAAAAAGGCCAGCAGCCUUUUAUGCCCAAACUCUGUUGGCCCAGGAGAUCUCCCUUUCCCCAUGUGGUAGGAAGCUCUGGUAGACCUGAAGCUUUUGAGUAGAGUCAAAGAAGCCUUGAACUUUUGGUCUGGGUGAGAAUUUCAGCUCUGGCAUUUUCAGCCUUGUUGGGUUUUAAGCUCUAGAGUAAAACUCAUGGCCUACUCUUGAUCUGACGCUAGACAUCUGAUGUGGACAUUGAUCCUGUAGCCCAAUGGUCUUCUUUGCAUUGGGGAGGAAAAGUUGUUGGAGUUUUUAUGGAAAAGGAGCAAAUGAAUGGACAGAGUAUUUGAGAACAACUUGAAGCAUAGAAGCUUGUUUCUGUUAGCAAUUCUCAGAAAUAAAGCAGUAUGUGAGGGCCUUGACUUAUACAGGUCUGGUGACGGAACUUAAAGUAGAGAGAUACCUCUGAAGAGGUAGCAUAUUUCCUCUAGAUUAAUGUCUCUCCAUCUCUAGUAUGUAGACUAAUGGAGCAGAUUUGAACUUAGCACUUUUGUUUCUUGCAGUUCAGGUUUUUUUUUUCUCUUUUCCCUCAUGUCUAGGACCUCUGCUAGCUAGGUAAGUAUCUAAUGGUUUAUAGUGUCACUUGGGUAUGAAAGUGCCUUAGGCUAUUGCUGAGGUUUGGGCUGUUGGGGUGAUAAUAGUUAAACUUUGGACUGCACGUUUGGGAAUUGGAGUGUCUGUAUUCUGGGAUGCUUGGUGAUAACAAAGCCAUAUGUACUUAUAAACAUUCUUAUUAUUUUUGUAAACUCAUUUUUUUAGAAUUGAAAAUGUGUCACUUUUUUGAGUGUUCAAUUUUUAAAUAAAAAUGUUUAUGAAUUUUAGAUAUAUAAAGAGAUUUAAAUAAUAUUUAAGAAUCCUUUAGGUAUAGCAUGGUGACUUUAUAGUUAAUAAUAUAGUAUGGUGUAUUUGAAAGUUGCUAAGGGAGUAGAUCUAAGAAGUUCUCAACACAAGAAAAACAGUUGUAACUGUGUGUGCUAAUGGAUAUUAACUAGACUAAUUGUAAUCAUUUUGCAGUAUAUACUAAUAUCACUAUGUGUAAAAUAAGCUACAAGGAUAUAUUGUACAAUGCAGGGAAUAUAGCCAAUAUUUUAUAAUAACUAUAAAUGGAAUAUAACCUUUAAAAAUUGUGAAUUACUAUAUUGUUUACCUGAAACUUAUAUAAUCUUGUUCAUUAACUAUACUUCAAUAAAAAAUAAAAAUUAAAAAGUAUAUAUUAAAGUUGGAUAAUUUGGUAUACCUAAAAUUAAUAUAAUGUUAUAUGUCAAUUAUAUCUCAGUUAAAAAGGUAAAUUUUUUUAAAAAAUUCAAAUGAAUCAGAUAACUCAGUUUUACUUUUAAUAAUAGUAAUUGAAUAAGAACUUCAUCCAAUUUUAAAAAGGAAAGAUAAAAAAUUCUUGAUUUUUAUUAAAAAGGAAAAUUACAUACAGCAAUUCUAAGAAUAGUAAUGUUACCAUUUUUUUCAUUGUUAGUGAGUUGUUGAGUCAAUCUGAUAGCAUCAGGAGUACUGUAAUAAAAUGAAAAUUUUGUAUAUGAACAUAGUAUAAAAUAUGAAUGUUCAUUUCUUUAGUCAGAAGGUGGAAAUUGCUUUGUAGAAUGAAGUUUAAAAGGAAUAUGAAAUUCAUAGGUGCUGUACCGUAAGUCACCAUUAUAACACAUUUACCACUUUGCAUGUUAAGCCAGCAACUUAGACUUCAGAAUUACAUCAGUGGAUACAUGCAUUAAAGACGAUCCCUCUGGAAAAAAAGGAAUAAAAUUCCUCCAGCAACUUUAAAUCAGGUGUAAAGAGGGCGGUACUUUUGUAAAUACAGAGCCACUGUGUGAAAGCCCUGCUUUGAAGCCUGAGACUAAAUUCGAAAGUGUGACAUAUUGUUUUCUUUUCUUUAAGGAACUCCAUUUGGCUUGUGUAGAGUGUUCUUCCCAACCCUUCCCUGCCCUCUUUGUGAAUUUUUCUUUAUGAGUAGGAGAGAAGUAAAAAUUAUAUUACCCAUUUGAAAUUAUUGCUUUAUUAUAUUACUGUUAAAAUUUAUUAAGCUGAUAAAUUAAAAAUGUCUUAUUUCAUCAUGUGCAUAUCUAUAUGUGUAUAUCCAUCAUAAUUAUCAUACUCCAAGUAUUUAUACUACUUCUACCCCAUUGCAAGCCACCAUUCUCUCUCACCUAGACUCUGUAGAAGUCUCUUAGCUGAUUUCUUUUUAUACCAGCCUCCCUCACCAACAAAUUUGUUCUCUAUGGAGCACCAAGUGAUUCUUUAGUAGUGAAUGUCAGAGCAGGCUACUCAAAAAUUCCACUUCUUGUUCAUUAAUUUCUUUUUGUUUUUAAUUUGAGUAUAGUUGAUUUAAAAUGUUGUGUUUUAGGUGUACCGCAAAGUGAUUCCAUUACACCUUAUGUUUAAGAGAUAGACAAUAUUUAAGAAAUAGGUCUCGAUAAUUGAUAGGUAUGGAAUAGCAAGGAUGAUGCAUAAGAGUCUACAUGGGAAGCUGGGUGGGAUGCUAUUUAGAGGUAAGGCACAGGUUUGGAGGUGGAGGGUUAUAGCUGUUUGAGUCCAGCCAGUGCUUGGAGUGUUAAAUUAGUUUCCUAGUGCUGCAGUAACAAAGGAUCAAAAUCUGGGUGGUUUAAAACAGUAGAGAUUUAUUAUCUCAGUUCUAGAGGCUAAAAGUCCAAAAUCAAGGUGUUGCUAGGGCCAUGUUCUCUCUGACUGCUCUAGGGGAGAAUUCUUGCUUGCCACUUAAGCUUCUGAUGUUUGCCAGUAGUCCUUGAAGUUCUUUAGCUUGGGGAUGGCCAUCGUUCCUUGGGUGUCUUUCCCUCUGUGAGAGUCUCUCCAUGUCCAGAUUUCCCUUUUAAUAAAGAUACAGUCAGAUUUGUUCAGGGCCACCCUGAUGACCUCAUUUUAACUAUAUGAUUUCCCUAGAACUUGUUUCCAAAUAAGGUCAUAUUCUGUGCUACUAGGGUUUAGGACUUCAACAUAUCUUUUGCUGAUGAAUUUUACUAAAAAUUUAGGCUAUUUGAUACAUUGAAGUAAUAAAGGGUAGGAGAUCAAGAAGGUGAAAACAAAGGUAAAUACUGAGUUUUCAUGCUUUACUGAGAGAAUGCUGGUGCCGCUGUAAGGAAUGGGGGGAAGGAAAGUACAGAUUCCAGACAAGAAGAGAGGAGAGAGGGAAGUGAAUUUUGUUGUGAGCUGGCUGAAUUGGACUUUAGGUGAUUGUCACAUAGCUUCAUGAUCUAGUCAGAGUUGAGGGAAGAGCUCUGCAUCUUUUUUUAUCUUUUUUGUUUUGGCUGGGGGGAGUUUUUUAGGGCUGCAACUGUGGCAUAAGGAAGUUCCCAGGCGAGUGGUUGAAUCGGAGCUAUGGCUGCCAGCUACACCACAGCCACAGCAAUACGGAGUCUGAGCCAAGUUUGUGACCUACACCACAGCUCAUGGUAACGCAUGAUCCAUAACCCACUGAGGAGGCCAGGGAUCAAACCUGCAUCCUCAUGGAUACUAGUUGGAUUCGUGACCACUGAGCCGCAGCGGGUAUUCUGAGAUCUGCAUCUUGAUCACAGCUUUGCUAUGGAAAUGUCUGGGUUCUCAGAGGAGGGAGGCCAGAGAGUCUGAGAUCUGGGUCUCAAAAGGAAGCUAAUGAGAGAAGGUUACUUGUUGAAGUGGAUGCCUUCAUCCAUUAUAGAAAAAAAAAAAA
rnacentral:lncRNA from 1 species